rnacentral:tRNA from 1 species
CAAGAUGGAGCUUACUAGCGCAGCACUUCGUUUACGCCGAAACUUCCCCCGUGCAAGUCGGGUCAUCUUG